rnacentral:rRNA from 1 species
AGAGUUUGAUCAUGGCUCAGAAUCAACGCUGGCGGCGCGCUUAACACAUGCAAGUCGCACGAGAAAGCGGGAGCAAUCCCGCGAGUACAGUGGCGUACGGGUGAGUAACACGUGGGUGAUCUACCCUUUAGUGGGGAAUAACGCUGGGAAACCGGCGCUAAUACCGCAUAAGCUCGAGAGAGGAAAGCGGCUUUGUGAAAGCAGAGCCGCGCUGAAGGAGGAGCCCGCGGCCGAUUAGCUAGUUGGUAGGGUAAAAGCCUACCAAGGCAUAGAUCGGUAGCCGGCCUGAGAGGGCACACGGCCACACUGGCACUGAAACACGGGCCAGACUCCUACGGGAGGCAGCAGUGGGGAAUCUUGCACAAUGGGGGAAACCCUGAUGCAGCGACGCCGCGUGAGCGAUGAAGCCCUUCGGGGUGUAAAGCUCUUUCGGCAGGGACGAUAAUGACGGUACCUGCAGAAGCAGCUGCGGCUAACUACGUGCCAGCAGCCGCGGUAAUACGUAGGCAGCGAGCGUUGUUCGGAGUUACUGGGCGUAAAGGGUGUGUAGGCGGUUUUCUAAGUUUGGUGUGAAAUCUCCCGGCUCAACCGGGAGGGUGCGCCGAAAACUGGGAGACUAGAGUGCGGGAUGGGAGAGUAGAAUUCCUGGUGUAGCGGUGAAAUGCGUAGAUAUCAGGAGGAAUACCGGUGGUGUAGACGGCUCUCUGGACCGCCACUGACGCUGAGACACGAAAGCGUGGGUAGCAAACAGGAUUAGAUACCCUAGUAGUCC